rnacentral:tRNA from 1 species
GGAGGAGUCGCAUAGUUGGUCCAUUGCGGGGGGUUGCUAACCCCCUGAGCCCCUUAAACAGGCUCGCGCAGGUUCAAAUCCUGUCUCCUCCG